rnacentral:rRNA from 1 species
UGGGUCUGCGUUUCAUUAGCUGGUUGGUGGGGUAACGGCUCACCAAGGCGACGAUGCGUAGCCGACCUGAGAGGGUGAUCGGCCACACUGGGACUGAGACACGGCCCAGACUCCUACGGGAGGCAGCAGUAGGGAAUCUUCCGCAAUGGACGAAAGUCUGACGGAGCAACGCCGCGUGAGUGAGGAAGGCCUUCGGGUCGUAAAGCUCUGUUGCCAGGGAAGAACGGGUAGGAGAGUCACUGCUCCUGCCAUGACGGUACCUGAGAAGAAAGCCCCGGCUAACUACGUGCCAGCAGCCGCGGUA